GAAUCCCGUAUAUGGCACGGACUGCCGUUGCUCUGCGAUACACUCUCAACGAGUCGAGUUGUUUGGGAAUGCAGCUCCMAGUGGGUGGUAAAUGCCAUCUAAAGCUAAAUAUUGGCGAGAGACCGAUAGCGAACAAGUACCGUGAGGGAAAGAUGAAAAGCACUUUGGAAAGAGAGUGAAACAGUACGUGAAAUUGUUGAAAGGGAAACACUUGAAGUCAGUCGCGCCGUUCGGGACUCAGCCUUGCUUCUGCUUGGUUUACUUCCCGUUGGGUGGGUCAACAUCAGUUUUGGUCGGAGGAGAAAGGCCUGUGGAAGGUAGCAGCUUUGCUGUGUUAUAGCCACCUGUUGUAUACUUCGACUGGGACUGAGGAUCGCAGCACGCCUUUGGCCGGGGCUUUGCCCACGUACGUGCUUAGGAUGUUGGCAUAAUGGCUUUAAGUGACCCGUCUUGAAACACGGACCAAGGAGUCUAACAUGUGCGCGAGUGUUUGGGUGUUAAACUCGGACGCGAAAUGAAAGUAACAAGUUGGGAACACUUUUGUGUGCACCGACGCCCGGAGCUGACCUUCUGUGACGCAUCUGCGGUAGAGCGUAUAUGUUGGGACCCGAAAGAUGGUGAACUAUGCCUGAAUAGGGUGAAGCCAGAGGAAACUCUGGUGGAGGCUCGUAGCGAUUCUGACGUGCAAAUCGAUCGUCAAAUUUGGGUAUAGGGGCGAAAGACUAAUCGAACCAUCUAGUAGCUGGUUCCUGCC
rnacentral:rRNA from 1 species